GAUGAAGAACGCAGCGAAAUGCGAUAAGUAAUGUGAAUUGCAGAAUUCCGUGAAUCAUCGAAUCUUUGAACGCACAUUGCGCCCCCUGGCAUUCCGGGGGGCAUGCCUGUCCGAGCGUCAUUUCUGCCCUCCAGCCCGGCUGGGUGUUGGGCGCUGUCCCCCCGGGGACACGCCCCAAAGGCAGUGGCGGCGCCGCGUCCGGUCCUCGAGCGUAUGGGGCUUUGUCACCCGCUCGGGACGGACUCGUCGGCGCUGGUCUUCCUCCAGGCGACCCUUCGGGGCUCGUCUUCCUUCGGUUGACCUCGGAUCAGGUAGGGUUACCCGCUGAACUUAAGCAUAUCAAUAAGCGGAGGA
rnacentral:misc_RNA from 1 species